UACGUAGGCAGCGAGCGUUGUUCGGGGUUACUGGGCGUAAAGGGUGUGUAGGCGGUUUUCUAAGUUUGGUGUGAAAUCUCCCGGCUCAACCGGGAGGUGCGCCGAAACUAGGGUGAGACUAGAGUGCGGGAUGGGAGAGUAGAAUUCCUGGUGUAGCGGUGAAAUGCGUAGAUAUCAGGAGGAAUACCGGUGGUGUAGACGGCUCUCUGGACCGCCACUGACGCUGAGACACGAAAGCGUGGGUAGCAAACAGG
rnacentral:rRNA from 1 species